rnacentral:rRNA from 1 species
AGGGUUCGAUUCUGGCUCAGAUUGAACGCUGGCGGCAGGCUUAACACAUGCAAGUCGAGCGGGGAUAGGGUGCUUGCACCUGAUUCCUAGCGGCGGACGGGUGAGUAAUGCUUAGGAAUCUGCCUAUUAGUGGGGGACAACGUUCCGAAAGGGACGCUAAUACCGCAUACGUCCUACGGGAGAAAGCAGGGGAUCUUCGGACCUUGCGCUAAUAGAUGAGCCUAAGUCGGAUUAGCUAGUUGGUGGGGUAAAGGCCUACCAAGGCGACGAUCUGUAGCGGGUCUGAGAGGAUGAUCCGCCACACUGGGACUGAGACACGGCCCAGACUCCUACGGGAGGCAGCAGUGGGGAAUAUUGGACAAUGGGGGCAACCCUGAUCCAGCCAUGCCGCGUGUGUGAAGAAGGCCUUUUGGUUGUAAAGCACUUUAAGCGAGGAGGAGGCUUACCUGGUUAAUACCCGGGAUAAGUGGACGUUACUCGCAGAAUAAGCACCGGCUAACUCUGUGCCAGCCGCCGC